AGUGAACGCUGGCGGUAGGCCUAACACAUGCAAGUCGAACGGCAGCACAGAGGAGCUUGCUCCUUGGGUGGCGAGUGGCGGACGGGUGAGGAAUACAUCGGAAUCUACUCUGUCGUGGGGGAUAACGUAGGGAAACUUACGCUAAUACCGCAUGCGACCUACGGGUGAAAGCAGGGGACCUUCGGGCCUUGCGCGAUUGAAUGAGCCGAUGUCGGAUUAGCUAGUUGGCGGGGUAAAGGCCCACCAAGGCGACGAUCCGUAGCUGGUCUGAGACAAUGAUCGACAACCCUGGAACGGCGAGACGGUACAGACUCCUACGGGAGGCAGCAGUGGGGAAUAGUGGACCAUGGGCGCAAGCCUGAUCCAGCCAUACCGCGUGGGUGAAGAAGGCCUUCGGGUUGUAAAGCCCUUUUGUUGGGAAAGAAAUCCAGCUGGCUAAUACCCGGUUGGGAUGACGGUACCCAAAGAAUAAGCACCGGCUAACUUCGUGCCAGCCGCCGCCGUAA
rnacentral:rRNA from 1 species